AUUGAACGCUGGCGGCAGGCCUAACACAUGCAAGUCGAGCGAGCGGCGGACGGGUGAGUAAUGUCUGGGAAACUGCCUGCUGGAGGGGGAUAAAUACUGGAAAAGGUAGCUAAUACCGCAUACUAUCAGAUGUGCCCAGAUGGGAUUAGCUAGUGGGUGGGGUAACGGCUCACCUAGGCGCCGAUCCCUCGCUGGUCUGAGAGGAUGACCAGCCACACUGGAACUGAGACCCGGCCCAAACUCCUACGGGAGGCAGCGGUGGGGAAUAUUGCACAAGGGGGGCAAGCCGGAUGAAGCCAUGCCGCGUGUGUGAAAAAGGCCUUCGAGUUGUAAAGCACGUUCAGCGGGGAGGCGUUACCCGCAGAAGAAGCACCGGCUAACUACGUGCCAGCCGCCGCGGUAAUAC
rnacentral:rRNA from 1 species